UGUCUUGUCCACCAUCUGUGGUCCGCAGGGGAUUAUGAAUAUGAUGCACAUCUUCAGAGUUGUGUAAACUGCGGGUGUUUGCAUCCAGCUGUGAGGCAGUGACCCUGAAUAACUCAUUUGACGCAGAAUCAGUGAAGUCCAGCAGAUGGCGCUGUAGAGGUGUAUAACCCACAGCAGUCUACUGCAAAUACUGCACAAGUCCAAAUAUACUACACCCCACAGACCUGACACAACUCGUGCUGUGAUUUCAAGGCACUCAGGUCAACCACAAAGCGCACACAUGUGGACUGGUGAAUGAGAAAGGACAAUGAUCAUUGCUGAAGGAAUGGCAAACACCUGUGAACACGAGCAGUGGACAUCAUCUCUGUUGUAUUUCUCUGACUGAACUAGGAAGAAGCGUUA